CUCGGGAAUCACCUAGCGACCAGCGCCGAGAAGAGCCCACGCGGGAUUUCGGCCAGAGGAAGGGGAGAGCCCAGAGGAUGACGGGAACUAGGGGCCGAGGAGAGGGGGGCGGAGAGAGUCCCCAAAUGGUAGUAUGCAGUGAAAUUCCUUAAGUAGAAUGAAAGUAAGGCCUGGAGUGAGCUUCUACUAAGGAUGUUCUGUCGGUCUGAAAUUUUGUUCCCGUUUCCUAUAAUCUUAUCUUGAGAAGCUCACAGGACGGACUCCUUAUAUAGACAACUUUGGCUUCUUGGCAAGGCAACUUUACUCCUGCACCAACUUCCCCUCCUCCUGUUUUCUGGUGAAUUUAUCUACUCUAAGCCUGCAGUAUAAAAGGCACUAUAACAAGAGCAAGAAAAGAGGAAAAGAAAAACUAAAACAAUAAAGAGCACAAUUACUAGUGUGGGAAUCAGGAGGAAAAUUCUCUUUAGCAACAUGCCCAAAUGUUAAGUUGUGUUAGGACUGUAACUUAUUUUGUGUAAGUUUAUCACUUUGAAUUUGUUGAGCAGAGACUUAAAUGCAGUGACUAGGGCAGUCAGGAGUUAUUUGUGACAUCACAGAAGUUAUCGGUUAUAUGGCUAUAAAGGUCUUGUCACAGUUUGGCUGAGGAAGCCAUACUAAGUCCUGAGAGCCCUAGGGUGCUCAACUACCCAUCUCGGCUUUCCUCAGAUGAUCUGGGUUUAGAAUGUCCUGCUAUAGGGCCAAACUUCUCAAACUGUUUCCAAGCUCAAACCUUGAGAUCCGUCCCAGGCGAUUAACUAACCAAGACUCAGCUCAAGUGUCAUCCCCAUAGUGAAGUCCUUCCUAAUCUCUCUAUCAUUGGUUCAGUUAGUUUGUAUUAUUAGUUUGUAUAAUGUGUCUAAAUCUGGAGACUAUAGUGAAGCAUUAUUCUCCUAAACACUUGGAAAUGAGGCUAGUAAGUACGAAUGCCCCCUGCCUGCUCAACAAAUCAUGGAUAGGAUGAAUCACCUCAAAAGAGAAAGAAUGGUUCCCAUGCUGAGUGUGAAGUCUCAGGACAAAAACCAUGAAAUGGUUCCCCACCCCACCCCACCCCCACCGAUAACUGCCUCUGAACUGUGCAGUGGAGAAAUCCCGUUUUCCACGGAGGAUGUGUUGCCACAGUCCAAAACUUGCUAGCCACUUUCAGCUACUAAAACAGUUUCAUUUUGGUAUUUAAGAUUUUUAUUCUGACAUCUAGUGUUAAGCACGUUUUAAAUGUCAGUUUCAAACUGGAAUCAAAUCUUCCUCCUCCUCUUCCCCCCCCACCCCCCAGCCCUGGCAGCCUAGAUCUAUCCCUACCUCUGAUGUCUUGGGAAGUGGGAAUGAGUUGGUGUUUUCCUAUUUACAUUCAUCCUGGCUUCCUUCCACGUGCCAGGUCCUUGUGUUAGGAUGAGCAGGGGCUGGGGAGGGAGAGGGCAAAUGUCUCUAACUGGGCCCAGUUGCAGUCUACACAGUUGGUCUCAAGUGCUGUUCUUGCUCUUCGUGGGCUCCGUGAGGUUGGUGACUCUGACGUGCCCCCUAACGAGAGGCUUUCUUCAAGGCAUACUCCAAGGCAGUAACAAUCUUUUGUGAGAGACGGUGGGAAUAGAGAUUAGGCGCGUGGGCUCAGGAGCCAACUGCCUGGGGUCAAAUAUUCUGCCACUUAAUAGCUGUAUGAUCUUGAGCAAAUUCUUUACCUUCUCUGUGCCUCAAUUUAUUUACAUGUAGGGUGAGGAUAAUAAAGUACAGAAGGUCCCCUACCUACGAUGGUUCAACUUAUGAUUUUUCAAUUUUACAAUGGUAUGAAAGCAAUAUGAUUUCAGGAGAAACCAUACCUGGAAUUUUGAAUUUGAAUCUUUUCCUGGGUUAGCCAUAUGCAGGAUGGUCCUCUCUCAUGAUGCUGGGCAGUGGCAGGGAGCCACAGCUCUCGGUCAGCCACAAAGUCAUGAGGAUCAACAAUCAAUAUACUUACAACCAUUCUGUCCCCAUUCAACCAUCCUGUUUUUCACUUUCAGUACAAUAGUCAGUAAAUCACAAGAGAUAUCCAAUGCUUUGUUAUCAAAUAGGCUUUGUGUUACAUAAUUUGCCCAGCUGUAGGCUGAUAUAAAUGUAGACUUAUACGUGUUUAAGGUAGGCUAGUCUAAGCAAUGAUGUUUGACGGGUUAGGUGUGUUAAAUGCAUUUUCAACCUAGGAUAUUUUCAACUUACGGUGGGUUUGUUGGGAUGUAACCCUAUCAUAAGUCAAGAGAGACCUGUAGCGCCUAUCCUGUAGGGUUGUUGUGAGGCUUAGAUGAGUGAAUAACAUGUAAAGUGCUUAGAAAGUACCUGGAACAUGGUAAGGACCCAAUAAAUGUUAGCUGUCAUUAUCAUUUGACCAAUGGACCUCCAAUUGGUGACAAUGAUACCAUAUCACUCUGAUACUUGGGCAUCUACUUGCCUUGUUGUGAUGAUCCCUACAUGAUGAAAGAGUGUCACCACUGACCCUGUGUCAUCUUCACAAGCAGCUCUAGGACUGGUGGGCACAUAUGGGACCUAUCCAUCUUCUGUACACUGGCACAGUGCUGUCCUAUCUAGUUGGUUCUUUUCAAUUCCCUGUUCUGUGAGCUCAGGUAGCAUAGAGACAAAUUAGCCAACUCCUGGCUAGGCAGCCAUCCAAUAGGAAGCAAAAUGCCAGCCUCCCCUUCAGUCAGACACGUCUAGUCUUUAGUGAUUCUCUUGGAAGCCCCCUCCCUUGGAAAUAGCACCUCAGUUCACAGAAAAAUAAUGCUGGUCACAGGAGCCUAGGGUUCCCAUAAAGGCAAUUUCUCAUUGCAAACGAGUGCACUGCCAUUCUGACUUUAUAUAGUAUACUGGGUUUCUGAGCUUGGCUAAUUUACUGGUACAGCCAUAAAAGAAGAGAAAUAGAUUCCUUCUCUGGAUGCUGACCAAAUCGUUUUUUCAGGCUGUAAAGCUUAAUAGCAGAGCUUGAACUGAAGCAUGUUAAUGUCACCCAGUUAGCCUUCUUAGGAGCAGCUGGCCACCUUUGUCCCAGAAGUACCCUUUUGAGUUUCUUUUAGACAACUCUGUCCUCUGGGCCUCUGUCUUAACCUACCCCUGUCAUAACGUCAACACAUUAUUGCAUUUUAUCUAUUCAUUUCUGUUUCCUACUACUUAAUAUCAAAGCCCCUUAAGGGCAGGGGCUAGGCCUUUAGUUAUCUUUGUAUGUCUAGUGCCUAAUGUUGACUAACAUUUGUAGGUCUUCAAUGAAUAUGUCUAAAAAUUUUGCUGAGUGUUUAGCAUGUGAAAGGUGUAGUGCUAAGAACUAAGGGUGCUGUAAGAUCUGGUGAUUGUCAAUGAGGAAAAUACGCUCUGGUUGAGCCAGCAGGAUCCAUCUUGAGUUGAGGAUUCUUCUGCUGUACAACUAUAACACUUGGUAUAAAUCUCUGCUUAGGACUCACCAAACUGUAAUGUCAACACGUAGCUUUCUCUAAUAGUUUCUGAGCCUUUGGAAGGGAAGGUCUGAGCUCCCCCUUUGCAUUCUGAUUGUCUAGUCCAGUGCCUAAUGUUCACAAGGCAGGCGCUCUACAGGGGGUAUUAAAUAGCUAACUAGAAUAAAGGUUCAGAUAACAGUGGGUGUGCUGAGGUCAUAGGGUAAGUUUUUCAGAUGAAGUGGACUCAAGUUUAAGGGAACUUACAAAGGGAAAGAAAUAAGGCUGAUAUGUUAGAUAAGGGACAAUAUGAGAACACAGAUCAGAAUGUACAGAGCAUCUUCUGGAGAGAUUUGGGUAAAAAUAUUCAGCAAGUAAUUGGAAAACAUAGGCCUGAUGGGCAUGAGGGAUAUCAGUUUCCAAGAUGUAUUCUUGGGAAAAUUGGAAUUGGUCUGGCAAAGAGGGUUGGUUUUCAGUGCGAUCCUUGGGACCUGAGCAGCAUUAGCAUCAUGUGAGAAUUUGUGAGAAAUGCCAAUCCUCACACCUGAAUCAGAAACUCUGGGGUGGUGCAAUCUGUGCUCUAACAAGCCGUCCAGAUGACCCUGAUGCACCCUGAAGUUUGAGAAAAACUAGCAUAGGGGGUUAAGAGUGUGGACUCUGGAACCAGAAUACUUAGCCAUAUGGCUGUGGGUAAGUUAUUAAUCUCUCUGGGUCUCAGUUUCCUUAUAGAAUGGAGAUAAUAAAUGGCACCUAUGUUCUAAGGUUGAUGUAAGGAUUGACAGUUCAUACAUAAAGUGUUCUAUCAUAGCAAGUGAUCUGAUUCUGUUGUUUUUAGUGAGAAUCUUUGGAGCACACAUUCCCACACAGAGCCUAGGGUGAGAGACCUUGCUACUUGAAAUGUGUUCCCCAAUGCAGCAGCCACAGCCACUGCAGCAUCACCUGGGAACCUAUUAGAAAUGCAGAAUCUCAGGCCCUCCCCACUCCUAUUGUAUCAGAAUCUGCAUUUUACAAAUAGGUAUUUGAAUAGCAAAGCAGUAUUCUACAACUCAGCUCUAGACCUACUAAAUAAGAAUCUCCUGGGACUGGAAACUACAUAUUUCCAUGAUUUCUACCAUUGAUUCUGAUGUUUACCAAGGAUUUAGCAACCCCAGUGCACUUAGGACAGCUGAUUUCCAUCAUUUGAAAAAACUCAAAGCACCUGUGAUGCUACACUUGGCAAGCACCAGAUGUACAAAAGACAGUAUUUGUUCUAAGAAAAGUAGGUUUGUGUGGAAGAAUGCUAGGUAAGGCUAAAAACUAGCUAAGAAAUUAAUCUUGUGUUCUGUAUGACUAUAGUUCUUUCACAUAAUUUUUAUGUUAGUACAUUUCAUAUGAGUUUAUUGAAUGAAUCUUCUUUAUCCAGCCAGAAUUGACCAGUUGGGCCUUCUACAACAUAUUUUAAUGAGACAGUUUUGGGUAACCAUAUUUCAACGUAGCAAAAGCCAACAUCACUAAAAGCAUGUCUUGGUAAAACUCUGCUAUUAAAUCCGCAUUGAGUUAAGCAAGAGGCCAGCCAUCUUCAUGGAGCUGAAACGCAGGGCUGAGAUGACAAAGUAAUUAUAAAUCUGGGAACAAAAAUGUUAUUAAACAAAUAAACCUCUCAGAAGUCUAAAAACUCUAAAACUUGUCGAGUCUAAAACUUGACAGUAUAUCCAGAAGAGAGUUUAUAAAUUAGGUUGCUCAUGAAAUCACCAUAUCACUUAUCAAACACCAUUAUGUGUGGUGCACUGGGUAUAUUUUUGGGGGUACCAAAGAAUAUAAGGCAAAUACUUUUCUUUUAUUACCCCACGCUGAAAUAUUUUCUCCCCUCUCUAAACAGUGACAAUCAUGUACUACACAAUUCUUUGACAGUUAUGUCCUAGAACCUUGUGAUAUUUUCUCUUAAAUUCUUGAAUUGUUACUCAAUAUUUUGUAACUUUUAAUAUCUAUCACCUAUCAUUUAUCUCCCCACUAGAAUAAUACAGUUGUUCCCCAAAAGUAGGAAGGUGGCAAUCUGUGUAAGGACCAGAUUAUUUCAAGCUCACCCUUACUUUCAGGAGGCAGCUCUCUGUAGACCCAUAAGUGGGAAGUAGUUUCACAAGUCCUCAUCUUUGACAGAAUAUUCUUUUUUUUCUUUUGGCCCCACUGGAUUGCCAAAAGUCUACCUCAGCCUUUUAGCUGCCUCUUGUAGAUCACUGUAUGCUCUGAAGCAGAAGUAGCCCUGGCAUAAAGGCAAGAGAAAAAAAGUGCAUCGAACAGGUAGCACAUAACUAAUACUAUCUGAAUGAGAAAAUAUCACAUUAAAUAUAAAAGGACUAAAUAUUUCAGGUAAAACUCAAAGAUAAUCAGACUAGACUAAAGCCUGAACCCAAACCAUAUGAUUUUUAGAGACAUGCAUCUAAAACUAAAGGCUACACAAAGGCUGAAAGUAAAGGGGUGGGAAAAGUUACGUCAUGCAAGUGUUAACCAAAAGAAAGCCACUGUAGCAAUAUUAAGAAUAGAAAACAGAAACUUUAAGGCAAAAAUCUUCACUACGCAGAGUGUUACUUCAUAAUGUUAAAAUAUUCAAUUAACCAAAAAGACACAACGAUUCUAGAUUUGCACAUGCACCUAAAACAUUAUCUUAAAAUAUGGAAAGCAAAAUUAACAAAAUUACAAGGAAAAAAUAGACAAAUCCACAAUCAAACGGGGAGAUUUUCACAUGCCUUUCUCAAUAGUAGAUAUGGAACAAAAAAAAAUCAGUAAGGAUAUAGAAUGUUGGACAACAUGAUUAAUAAGCUUGACACAAAUAGAGCACUUAAGUCAAGACCUUGUUAGGUCAUUUCCUUGGUCCUAUGGAAGAACACGUAUUUAGGGUCAGGAGAUUUUUAAAAAUCCACUCUUCUAUUUGGAGCACACGUGGAAGCAAGGGUAUGAAAAAACCCUAUAAUACAGAUCCGUUUCUACAACAGACUCUUUAAAUUUAUAAUCUGACUAUGCACGUUGUAAAAUUAAAUUCCGUCCAUUCCUAAUCCUAUUAGUUUGGCACCAAUACCAGACUGUAUUCUUCUCAUUAUUUAAUUUUGUGAAUGGGCUUUGAUGACAAUUACCUUGUUGUCUUUUUUUUUUUCAUAGUUAACAUACAGUAGUAUAUUGAUUUCAGAUGUACAAUAUAGCAAUUCAACAAUUCUAUUCAACACCUUGUGCUCAUUUCACAGUAAGUGUACUCUUAGUCCCCUUCAACUGUUUCACCUACACUCCUAGCCACCUCCCCUCUGGUAACCAUUAAAACUGAUUGCCCUUCUUGUUAGGACGUAGAAGUAAAAAGUACUAAUUAUUUUUUAAGUUGCAGUAACUUGGCUAAUUCUAUCCAAUCUUAUGGGCAAGAUUUAGAGGCCUGUUCAGGAAUUCUGGGCUCACAAUUUAAAUCUUUAUGAAAAGAACCUCAUAUAUGCCAACAGUGUUACAUACAUAUGGAAAAUUACUCUGAAAAAAAUCUUUGGAUUUAAAUGUAAUUGUCAGUGCAUUGCAAAUAGUAAGUAUUCUACAAACAAAGGGUAUAUAUUAAAUGGCCAUUUCUACUAUAAAAGGUACUACCUUUGGGGAACCAGUACUCCCAUCUUAGGAAGAAGAGGGUGGUGUAUGACAAGAUGGGGAAUGAGGGAGGAUGGGGGAAGAUUUGAUAAUUUUUUUGGAAGGAGAAUUUUUUAAAUCCCUCUUUCAACCUUUUCUAUACAUAUUUGAUCUGCGUCCAUAUCAGAGCAAUUUUCACUAUUUUAUUAUAACAUUGCCUGUAAUAAGAAUUACUUUAAAAAUAUGAAGUGGCUUUUCUUUUUUAAAGAGUGAAACCAAGACUCAAUCUGAAAUAUACAUUUUGCUAUACCACCAUCUUUGUUAAAACAGAUACAACUCUUAUUUGUAAUCAAUAUAGUACAUAAAAAUACACAAGGCAAAGACAUUUGGAGGAAUUCCAUUUAUUGUGGAUGCAUUUUCACAAUAUAUAUUUAUUGCAGCGAUCAAUUAUCAGUGAAAAAUAUCAAGUGUUUAUAAAAUUUUUAGGAAUGGCAGAUUCACAGAACAUGCUAGUCACUUGCAGUCUUACUUCUUAAAGAUAACAAAGAGAACUGUAAUCAAACAAGUAAACAAGGAAUUUAUUUUUCAAAAGGUUAAAUCCAAACUGAACAAAGUUCUACCCUAAAACUUAUUCCAUCCAGUAUUGGAAUAAAAGUCAGGAUCGAUAUAUUCUCUUCUCAACUUUAGACUUUCUAGAAAAAAUAUAUAAUAGUGAUCAAGAGAAGCUCUUAUUCAAAAGUACAACAAAGCAAUGUUACCUCACCAUCGGCCUUAAUUCAAACUUUGAUCCAUUUCACUCCAAUUAUGGGAGUUGGUGCUAAAUUAGGCACUGCAUGUGAAUUCUAGUUCAUUUUAUCAUAGACUCAUGUCUACUCUGUCAUAGGGGCAUGACCUGUGCAAUCCUUGUGGCUUUCCUUCCUUUGGCCCAGGUGUGCUACAGCUACAGGAUUCAACAGCUCUUUGCUGGUUUAUGAGGAAAAUAGACUUUGAAAGGCAGUGGUCACUUCUCAUGCCAGCCUUGCCCUGGCAAGUUCUUCCAGGGCAAUACCAUAGAUUAGAAAAGAGGCAUUUGCGAGGCUCCCUCAUUGUGGCAGGAAUUGAGACUAAGACAAUUUUGGUUAAGUCAAAUGAGGUAUAAGUUUAUAGAAUUACACUGUAUGUAUAUCUCUACGCUAGAACGUAUUGCCAAGACACUGGAGUACUCUUUUGUCAUCCACUGUGAAGAAUAGAUGAACACUUAUAAGCUAAAAUAAGAUCUGAUAUCUAGAUUGUGUGUGUAAAAUGUAAAAAUGACAAGUCAAUAGACUUGGGGGUAAAAGGUAAAACUAAUAAAAGGUACAUAGAGUUUUUCAAAAUUCAACACGUUAUCAACUUAUGACAAGUACCAAUGACUAAAAAAAAUAGAAAAGUUUAAUUUAAAAGGCAUUUCAGUCCGUUAAGAAUGGAAGUACUGUCAUGACUCCUAAAUAUUGGCUCUUGCUUACUUUUCUUCUCUGCUUCCAGACAUUAGCCAAUGUUGGUCAUAGUAUAUCCAUAUGUAGAAUUCCAAUCUGUACAAUUUGCAACUAAAAUUCUUGUCUUUAAAUUUUAGAGAAGGGAGAGACCUCAUUUGUCAUCUAAGCCAACCUACUGUGGACUUGAUAUUAAGAAUAGAAUACAGUUCUGAGCAAGCUUUGAGUUUGACCCAGAUGGUAGAUUUAGUACAAUUCACACUGGACUUCAAGAUUGCUUUUAAUUAUAAACUAAAUACUAUGUUUUAUAGAAAAUGCCAACUCAUUUUGACACUUCUAAUCUCUCUUUUCUUCUUACAGGUUAGCGGGCACUGGAAACAUAUCAAUACCUAUUCUGCCAUGUCUCUAUUGGCAAAUAUGAAAUAUUAAUAUAAUAUUGUGAUCUUUAGUUUUUAAAAAGCUGUGAUAUUGGCUAGUUACAAGGACAUACUGCUAAAUAUAAUAGUCUAGCACAUAAAAAAGCUUUCUACCAUUAGUGUGUUUGUAUAUGUGUAUGCACAUACAUACAUGAUCAGGUCAUCUAAAAUGUGGUUCGCUAUCACUACCAAAGAAAUCCACAAAGCAACCAACCUAAAGAAUCAGUACCAAUGUCAGCUAACAUCAUAAACCAAUUUAGAUAUUCAUCAGCAUGAAAAAAGUAAUACCUUAACAGUACAUCUUUUUUUUUUUUUUAAAGACAUUUUUUAAAGAUUAUUGUAGUAUCUCAAAUCUGAAACGGGUUACUUUCAGAAAGUGUUACAAUUGCCCACUGAGAUAAUUUCUUCCAUGCUUUAUUCUAAAGUGCAGAAAUAACAUGACUUCUGUAUUUAAAAUAA